CAGUAGCCGCGGGAAUACGUAGGGUGCAAGCGUUAAUCGGAAUUACUGGGCGUAAAGCGUGCGCAGGCGGUUUGUUAAGACAGAUGUGAAAUCCCCGGGCUCAACCUGGGAACUGCAUUUGUGACUGGCAAGCUAGAGUAUGGCAGAGGGGGGUGGAAUUCCGCGUGUAGCAGUGAAAUGCGUAGAUAUGCGGAGGAACACCGAUGGCGAAGGCAGCCCCCUGGGCCAAUACUGACGCUCAUGCACGAAAGCGUGGGGAGCAAACAGGAUUAGAUACCCCUGUAGUCCCUGUCUCUUAUAC
rnacentral:rRNA from 1 species